UCGCUGUGGCGGCUGAGCCGGGGCAGCAACAAGCCGGCAGAGAGAAUUCCCGCCCGUCUCAGCCCCAUCGUCCCUCAGAGCGGGCAGGUGCCUUCCACCCGCAGCCACUGCUCCUACCCCGGCGGCCGCCCGCAUGGUGCCGCCGCGCUUCCACAACUGGAACGCCAGCGCCGGGCGGGGGCCGCCAUCCCCAAGCCGCCAGCCUCGCCCUGCCCCUGACUGACGCAGACCUCAUCCACUCAGGUCCCCCCGUCCCGCCCAAGGGGCAGGGGGAAGGGGGCACACUCCCCUCCCCUUCGUCCCUCCUUCAGGGCUGCGUCGGCAGCUGCUCUCACCUGUGCGCCGCACGGCAUCUGCCAGCGGGCAGCGCAGCCCUCCCCUGGCAGCCCCUGGGGCGAAACCGGCUCUGAGCGGAGGGAAAGGGCCCAAAGCCGCGGCUGGAGGCAGCCCUCCCCUGGCAGCCCCUCGGGCGACACCGGCUCUGCUCGCGUGGCGGCUGCCGCCUCCGUCUGACAUGUGCCGCUCCUGUCACUGCUCCUCCUCAGCACCUCUGUGGUCCUGGGGUGUGAGCAGGAUGUCAGCACCUGGAUUCCAGAGACAAAAACCAUUUGCAAGCAGAGGAACUUUUGAGAGCAUUUAGCUGAUCCAAUAUAACAAAAUCUUUGCCUAA